GAAAUAUAUCGGCGUGGCGAGUUUUUGGGCUGAGGGACAUUGCGGCUCAUUGUUUCAAGCUCUGCGCUCACACAGCAAAAGCACGGAGUAGAGUUUGCUGGGAAAACAGAAACGUGGGGUUCUUGGAAGAUUCCUCUUACUUUGGUUUCGCCGAAAGCUGCGUCUGAACCACGGAAGGGCUUUAUAUGCCGUACGUGACAAUCGCUCACUUUUCAGAUACUUGAUCUGGAAUUGAUUCCUGCCGAAGAGAAAAAAAACACAUGAAAUGAACACAUGGAUGUCAUGCCAUUGGAUGUGAAAUACUGCCCGCUAGCCCGUGCUCGUGUUAAAGCGCUUAGCCGUACCUUGAUGUUCCCCGUCACUCCGGACCAUUUGUCUCAUUUUAGGUCCCAGAUUGGAGCAACGCGUGCACUCGCUCGCUCUGGCGGUAGAAUCAGACUCCGCGAUGGCGACCAGAAGCGUCUUGUUCGACGAACUUGAUCUGCGACAGAUUGUCAGCGAGCGCGUGAGAGCAGGACGGAGGGAUCAAGGGGUGAAAAGUCGAAGGGAGGACAACUUGACGGAUAGCGGCAGGGUGGCGAGGUCAGAGCAAGCCGUCCGACUCAAGACCAGCCGGGGCUAUUUCCUCGGCGAUUAUUAUCUGUGUCUGUUAACACAAUGCACCACCUGGACACGACGCACAUGCGCGCUCACCCACGCGCACUUUGCGGAACGGCUAAUAAAAGAUGCGGAGGAAUUUACAGCCGCACGCAAUCGGGCGCUUGCAGAACACAACCCCGGAUCUGUGGAUGGAAUCCAAGAGCAAAUGCAACAUUAAAGAGCACAAACAAGCAAGCGCCUAAGGACAACUCAUCAGCGCAAACAAGCUCUCUGUUUGUCGGAGCCUUACUUCACAAAGGGCCUGUCAAAAGGUGACGGCGCGCACGGCGCAUACGCGGGAGAAAGCCAUCUUCCGCACUUGUCUUUUUCGAAGUCUUCGGAGCAGAUGAGUUUCGCUCUCUCCCGACAAGACGAAACAUUGCUCAACAUUGAAUUGUUACACUGCCAUCCG
rnacentral:lncRNA from 1 species